ensembl:lncRNA
AUAUUUCCUGAUUCUUUGUGUAGAUAAAAAAAAAUCAGUUACAAGUUUAAGACUUAAAACAUUUAAAGGUUAGGUAUUGGGUUUAGUUUCGCCUCUAUCCUGGGCCAGCUGUUUCAAAAGUUAAUAUUAUUAGUGGUCGUAUUGUAGUCAUUUGGAAUAGAAUGGUAAAGCAUUUGUUUUAUUACACAUAUGUUCACAAAAUGUAUUUUUGAUGAUAAUGAUGAUCUGAUACAGUAUGUCAUACAUGAAGUACAUAAAUGGAGUAACAGUCAGUACUCACUGAAUGACUUUAUAAUAUGUGGUAUUUUGAUCGUAUGGUGUGUCUACUGUUUUACAGAGCCCAGUGCUGUGACUCCUGUGUUUGUGCAGAAGAUAGAGGAUGUCCUUCUGAAUGUCACAAUAGCUGAUGUUCCUGAAGAAGAUGUUGUUUUCUGUAGAUUCAAUAAAAUAGUUGAUUUAGUACGAUUUUUACUUGGUAUCGGACCAAAAGUCACUGAUGAUUACUCUGGAAGGAUUGAGUUGCUUGAGAAAUACUCAAGAUCACAGUCCAAGGUUAGUUUGUAAACAUUUCAGACACUGAUGGAGAGUUUCUGCUGCCAUGUUUCUAAAACCUCUCCACCUGCCUCUCCCCCCUCAGAUCCAGUGUCUCCAGUUAAUCUGUCAGUGGACUCUGUGUCUAACAGCUCAGACUGGUGUAACCUGACAGUGAGCUGCAGAGCACAGGACUCUCACAUUAACAGCACCUUUAGAUGUGACACCCACACCUGCAGUCAGGAGGGAGGAGAGAGACCACAGGUCACACCCUCUGCUGCUGCUCUCCAUGUCUACCUGUCCAAUGGCUCCAUCAUCUGUAACCAUAGCAACCAGGUCAGCUGGACCAAGGACAUGAAAACAAUAAAAAAUGUCUGCCGACAUGCUGUGUUCUCUCGGCGGCCCGGCCGACUCCUGCCUCCAGUGUUCUGUCGGCGGCCCGGCCGACUCAUGUGCCAGUUGCCUUGUUGCCGGACCCUGUUCCAGCUGACCCGUCGCCCGUCUCCGGCCUAGCUGUCCCCAGCCCAGCUGACCCUUCGUCUGGCUCCACCCUAGCGGACCCAUCGCCUGGCUCCAGCCCAGCUGCCCCUUCGCCUGCUCGGCCUACAGAGGGACUCAGUCAUGAUUUGGGGUUUUCUGUUAGUUUUCCAUUUCCCUGUUUUAUUUUGUAGUCUCUCUGUUCUUCCAUGUGUUGUCUUGUUUUAGCCUACUUUAUUCUAUUCUACUUUCCCGCCUGUGUGAUUACCUGUCCCCGCCCCUAUGUGUUGCACCUGCUGUGUCUCAUUCAUUGUCUCCCCUGUCUUGUGUAUUUAAGUUCAGUCUUUUCUUUACUCCUGUGCAAGAUUAUCUGUUUCCAUGUGUUCGGCCUUCGAGCGUUUUUCUCUGUGUCCUGUAUUUCUGAGUUCCUGUUUUCUCUUGGAUUUUGACCAUUGCCUGUUUUUUCGGAUUUCCCUUUGCCUGUCGUUUACUAGACACUGUUGCUUGUGAGUUUGUAUUAGCUUGCUAAUAAAAUCAUUGUAUCUUACUCACCUGAGUCAUGCAUUUGUGGGUCCAUUCUCCGGUGUGUGUGAUACAGUGUGGUUGCUAAGUGCUUUGGGGUCCUUCUGUAAGUAUUUUGAGGUAGGUACAAUAGUUCUGGAGAAAGCUUCAAGCAGCAAAACCACAGGUCAAGCAAUCGGCCCGUUCUAAACAGGCAUAUUUUGAACACGCACUGUACUAGUAAAUAUUAAC